UAGGGAAUCUUCGGCAAUGGACGAAAGUCUGACCGAGCAACGCCGCGUGAGUGGAGAAGGUUUUCGGAUCGUAAAACUCUGUUGGUAGAGAAGAACGUUGGUGAGAGUGGAAAGCUCAUCAAGUGACGGUAACUACCCAGAAAGGGACGGCUAACUACGUGCCAA
rnacentral:rRNA from 1 species